rnacentral:lncRNA from 1 species
CCAGUCUUCAUUUCCACUAAGACCUCCAAUUCAUGUGUGUUGUCACUUUUUUACUGUUAUUCUCUUUACGUCCUCAUUUCCAUGGUCAUUGCUGAAAUCACUCAGAUAUCUUUAUUUCUCCUGUCCUUUCCAUUUGUGUCACGUAUCUGGCAAAACCCCAAAUAUCUGCCUACUCCCUGCUUGUACUCAAGCUGAAGCUGCUAGAGAAAACCCACAUCUGUGUGUCUGUUCUCACUUUAAUUUUAAGACUGCAAAUCUCAGAUGGGAGACCAUGCAAUCCUACGAUUCUGUAGUGAAUAUGUUUCUCUAAUCUCCAAUACUGACUUUUUCCCCCUUAGACCUCUUCAUCCUCAGCUUGAUUCCUACCGUAUUGAACUUUGUCUGCAAUCAGAUAUUAUUAGAUGUACCUAUUUUCUCACUGUCUCAGGUGGUAACUUGUCUGUUUAUCCAUGCUCUUUGGCUUCCCCUAUUAAAAUGAAAGUAUUCCUAAAAUAAUCUAAGCUCAGCCCCUAUACUUAUGUUCUAGAUUUCACCUCUACUUACCCACUGCAGUAAGUAAAGCCUUCUUUGUAUUAUAUUACUAGUGUCUUCUCCAUGACUAGCUUAUUCUGAUUGGCAUAUAAGCAUGCUUAAAUAUCAUUUGUAAACA